GAUGAACGCUGGCGGCGUGCCUAAUACAUGCAAGUCGAGCGAACAGACGAGGAGCUUGCUCCUCUGACGUUAGCGGCGGACGGGUGAGUCACAUGUGGAUCACCUCCCUAUCAGACUGGGAUAACUUCGGGAAACCGGCGAUAAUACCGGAUAAUAUAUUGCACCGCAUGGUUCAUUAGUGAAAGACGGUUUUGCUGUCACUUAUAGAUGGAUACGCGCCGCAUUAGCUAGUUGGUAAGGUCACGGCUUACCAAGGCAACGAUGCGUAGCAGACCUGAGAGGGGGAUCGGCCACACUGGAGCGGGGACGGGGUCCAGAGUCCUGCGGGAGGCAGCAGUAGGGAAUCGUCCGCAAUGGGCGGGAGCCUGGCGGAGCGGCGGCGCGUGUGUGAUGAAGGUCUUCGGAUCGUAAAACUCUGUUAUUAGUGAAGAACAAAUGUGUAAUUUACUAUGCACGUCUUGACGGUACCUGAUCAGAAAGCCACGGCUAACUACGUG
rnacentral:rRNA from 1 species